UUUUACAUUUAUUAUUGCUCUACUUCUCUCACUCAUUGCUAAAUGAACAAUUAACAUCUUUGUAUUUACAUAGCUACAGGGACAUAUAUGUGAGCAUUUCAGUGUGUUACACAAAUGAAUACAUUUUAAUUGUAAAUCAUUUACUAUCCAGAUAAUAUCAAUUCUAUGACAUUUGUGAACAUUAAAAUUUCAUCUUUUAGGGCUGGGGAUAUGGCCUAGUGGCA